GGUCAAGGGAUGGGAAUCGAACCCACGACCUUCCGCUUACCGGGCAGAUGCCAUGACCACUAGGCUACCCUGGAC